rnacentral:rRNA from 1 species
CACUCCUGCGGGAGGCAGCAGUGGGGAAUAUUGGACAAUGGGCGCAAGCCUGAUCCAGCCAUGCCGCGUGAGUGAUGAAGGCCCUAGGGUUGUAAAGCUCUUUCACCGGUGAAGAUAAUGACGGUAACCGGAGAAGAAGCCCCGGCUAACUUCGUGCCAGCAGCCGCGGUAAUACGAAGGGGGCUAGCGUUGUUCGGAUUUACUGGGCGUAAAGCGCACGUAGGCGGACUAUUAAGUCAGGGGUGAAAUCCCGGGGCUCAACCCCGGAACUGCCUUUGAUACUGGUAGUCUUGAGUUCGAGAGAGGUGAGUGGAAUUCCGAGUGUAGAGGUGAAAUUCGUAGAUAUUCGGAGGAACACCAGUGGCGAAGGCGGCUCACUGGCUCGAUACUGACGCUGAGGUGCGAAAGCGUGGGGAGCAAACAGGAUUAGAAACCCCAGUAGUCCCA